rnacentral:rRNA from 1 species
UACGUAGGGUGCAAGCGUUGUCCGGAAUUAUUGGGCGUAAAGAGCGCGCAGGCGGUAUGACAAGUCAGAUGUGGAAGAGGCCGGCUUAACCGGCAAGGGUCAUUUGAAACUGUCAGACUAGAGUGCAGCAGAGGAUAGUGGAAUUCCCGGUGUAGUGGUGAAAUGCGCAGAUAUCAGGAGGAACACCGGUGGCGAAGGCGGGUCUCUGGGCCGAUACUGACGCUGAGGAGCGAAAGCGUGGGGAGCGAACAGG